UGGGGGAUAUUGCACAAUGGAGGAAACUCUGAUGCAGCAACGCCGCGUGAGGGAAGAAGGUCUUCGGAUUGUAAACCUUUGUCCUUGGUGACGAAACAAAUGACGGUAGCCAAGGAGGAAGCUCCGGCUAACUACGUGCCAGCAGCCGCGGUAAUACGUAGGGAGCAAGCGUUGUCCGGAUUUACUGGGUGUAAAGGGUGCGUAGGCGGCUCUGCAAGUCAGGCGUGAAAACUAUGGGCUUAACCCAUAGACUGCGUUUGAAACUGUGGGGCUUGAGUGAAGUAGAGGUAGGCGGAAUUCCCGGUGUAGCGGUGAAAUGCGUAGAGAUCGGGAGGAACACCAGUGGCGAAGGCGGCCUACUGGGCUUUAACUGACGCUGAAGCACGAAAGCAUGGGUAGCAAACAGG
rnacentral:rRNA from 3 species